UUUGUUCCGUGACCCGAGCUCUGAUAGAGUUUGAUCCUGGCUCAGAUUGAACGCUAGCGGGAUGCUUUACACAUGCAAGUCGAACGGCAGCGCGAAGAAAGCUUGCUUUCUUUGGCGGCGAGUGGCGGACGGGUGAGUAAUGCAUCGGAAUGUGCCCAGUAGCGGGGGAUAACUACUCGAAAGAGUAGCUAAUACCGCAUAUUCUCUACGGAGGAAAGAGGGGGACCUUAGGGCCUCUCACUACUGGAGCAGCCGAUGUCAGAUUAGCUAGUUGGUGGGGUAAAGGCCUACCAAGGCAACGAUCUGUAGCUGGUUUGAGAGGACGACCAGCCACACUGGGACUGAGACACGGCCCAGACUCCUACGGGAGGCAGCAGUGGGGAAUUUUGGACAAUGGGGGGAACCCUGAUCCAGCCAUCCCGCGUGUAUGAUGAAGGCCUUCGGGUUGUAAAGUACUUUUGACAGGGAAGAAACGACACCACCUAAUACGUGAUGUUAAUGACGGUACCUGUAGAAUAAGCACCGGCUAACUACGUGCCAGCAGCCGCGGUAAUACGUAGGGUGCAAGCGUUAAUCGGAAUUACUGGGCGUAAAGGGUACGCAGGCGGCUAGGAAAGAAGGAUGUGAAAUCCCAGGGCUCAACCUUGGAACUGCAUUCUUAACUGCCUAGCUAGAGUAUGUCAGAGGGGGGUAGAAUUCCAAGUGUAGCGGUGAAAUGCGUAGAGAUUUGGAGGAACACCAGUGGCGAAGGCGACUAACUGGCCUGUAACUGACGCUGAGGCGCGAAAGCGUGGGGAGCAAACAGGAUUAAAUACCCAAAGCGGGGGAGGAAACAGGAUAAGAUACCUUGUUAGUCCACGCGCAAACGAUGAGUGUUAGUGUAGUGGGGUUUCCGCCCCUUAGUGUGCAGUAAAGGCAUUAAGCACUCCGCUGGGGAGUACGGUCGCAAGACUGAAACUUUAAGGAAUUGACGGGGGCCCGCACAAGCGGUGGAGCAUGUGGUUUAAUUCGAAGCAACGCGAAGAACCUUACCAGGUCUUGACAUCCCGUUGACCACUGUAGAGAUAUGGUUUUCCCUUCGGGACAACGGUGACAGGUGGUGCAUGGUUGUCGUCAGCUCGUGUCGUGAGAUGUUGGGUUAAGUCCCGCAACGAGCGCAACCCUUAAGCUUAGUUGCCAGCAUUCAGUUGGGCACUCUAAGGUGACUGCCGGUGACAAACCGGAGGAAGGUGGGGAUGACGUCAAAUCAUCAUGCCCCUUAUGACCUGGGCUACACACGUGCUACAAUGGACGGUACAAACGGUUGCCAACCCGCGAGGGGGAGCUAAUCCGAUAAAACCGUUCUCAGUUCGGAUUGUAGGCUGCAACUCGCCUACAUGAAGCCGGAAUCGCUAGUAAUCGUGGAUCAGCAUGCCACGGUGAAUACGUUCCCGGGCCUUGUACACACCGCCCGUCACACCACGAGAGUUUGUAACACCCUAAGUCGGUGAGGUAACCUUCGGGAGCCAGCCGCCUAAGGUGGGAUAGAUGAUUGGGGUGAAGUCGUAACAAGGUAACCGUAA
rnacentral:rRNA from 1 species